rnacentral:rRNA from 1 species
GACGAACGCUGGCGGCGUGCUUAACACAUGCAAGUCGAACGGAAAGGCCUUUUCGGAGGUACUCGAGUGGCGAACGGGUGAGUAACACGUGGGUGAUCUGCCCUGCACUCUGGGAUAAGCCUGGGAAACUGGGUCUAAUACCGGAUAGGACCGCACUUUAGUGUGUGUGGUGGAAAGUUUUUUCGGUGUAGGAUGAGCCCGCGGCCUAUCAGCUUGUUGGUGGGGUAAUGGCCUACCAAGGCGGCGACGGGUAGCCGGACUGAGAGGUUGGUCGGCCACAUUGGGACUGGGAUACGGCCCAGACUCCUACGGGAGGCAGCAGUGGGGAAUAUUGCACAAUGGGCGCAAGCCUGAUGCAGCGACGCCGCGUGGGGGAUGACGGCCUUCGGGUUGUAAACUCCGUUCGCCAGGGACGAAGCGUUUUGUGACGGUACCUGGAGAAGAAGCACCGGCUAACUACGUG